CCUACGGGAGGCAGCAGUGAGGAAUAUUGGUCAAUGGGCGGAAGCCUGAACCAGCCAAGUAGCGUGCAGGAUGACGGCCCUACGGGUUGUAAACCGCUUUUGCACGGGGAUAACACCCUCCACUUGUGGAGGUCUGCAGGUACCGUGCGAAUAAGGGCCGGCUAAUUCCGUGCCAGCAGCCGCGGUAAUACGGAAGGCCCGAGCGUUAUCCGGAUUCAUUGGGCUUAAAGGGAGCGUAGGCGGGCGUUCAAGUCAGCUGUAACAUCGGGCGGCUCAACCGCGCCCCGCAGUUGAAACUGGACGCCUUGAGUUCACAACAGGCAGGCGGAAUUCGUGGUGUAGCGGUGAAAUGCAUAGAUAGCACGAGGAACCCCGAUUGCGAAGGCAGCCUGCCGGGGUGCGACUGACGCUGAGGCUCGAAGGUGCGGGUAUCAAACAGGAUUAGAUACCCCAGUAGUC
rnacentral:rRNA from 1 species